UACGUAGGGGGCGAGCGUUGUCCGGAUUUAUUGGGCGUAAAGAGCGUGUAGGCGGCCAGGUAGGUCUGCUGUGAAAACUCGAGGCUCAACCUCGAGACGCCGGUGGAAACCGUAAGGCUAGAGUCCGGAAGAGGAGAGUGGAAUUCCUGGUGUAGCGGUGAAAUGCGCAGAUAUCAGGAAGAACACCCGUGGCGAAGGCGGCUCUCUGGGACGGUACUGACGCUGAGACGCGAAAGCGUGGGGAGCGAACAGG
rnacentral:rRNA from 1 species